UACGUAGGGGGCGAGCGUUAUCCGGAAUGACUGGGCGUAAAGGGCGCGUAGGCGGAUUGUACAGUCAGGCGUGAAAUCCCCGGGCUCAACCUGGGAACUGCAUCUGUGACUGUAUAGCUAGAGUACGGUAGAGGGGGAUGGAAUUCCGCGUGUAGCAGUGAAAUGCGUAGAUAUGCGGAGGAACACCGAUGGCGAAGGCAAUCCCCUGGACCUGUACUGACGCUCAUGCACGAAAGCGUGGGGAGCAAACAGG
rnacentral:rRNA from 1 species